rnacentral:rRNA from 1 species
CAGCCGCCGCGGUAAUACGUAGGGUGCGAGCGUUAAUCGGAAUUACUGGGCGUAAAGCGUGCGCAGGCGGUUUUGUAAGACAGGCGUGAAAUCCCCGGGCUCAACCUGGGAAUGGCGCUUGUGACUGCAAAGCUAGAGUGCGGCAGAGGGGGAUGGAAUUCCGCGUGUAGCAGUGAAAUGCGUAGAUAUGCGGAGGAACACCGAUGGCGAAGGCAAUCCCCUGGGCCUGCACUGACGCUCAUGCACGAAAGCGUGGGGAGCAAACAGGAUUAGAUACCCCCGUAGUCCCUGUCUUUUAUAA